GCCUGGCUGGCUCACUGGUAGAGCAAGAGACUCUGGGUCUCCGGGUCAUGAGUUCAAGCCCCAUGUUGGGUG
rnacentral:tRNA from 1 species